GGAAUAAUGGAGGGAGGGAUAGAGAGGAGGGAGGGAAGAAGGAGACCUGGCAGCUCUGCCUCCAGACUCUCAUAUGGACAGUGGAUCUCUUGGGACAACUGGUUGAAAGUCUCUCUCUGUCUCUACUGUUACUCGUGGCUGAGUGGGUCGGUGCUCUGCCGUGUCUCCAGAGUGAUUUGUCAGGUUUGCAACGAGGAAAGACAGUGGGAGAAAGGGAGAGAGGGGGGAGACAACUUCGGUAGCAGGCAGGCAGUAGUUACCAGCCUGCUGCCGGCUGGGUGUGUUAACUCCACAUCUGACCUCCAUGGGAACAGAGCAGCCUCCACUCCACCCCCCCUCCCCUUGCCUUCUGGCAGGCUGUGGGAACAAGGGGGACAGAUCUUCAUUUUACCCCUCUCUCUCUCUGCUUCUCGCCAGGCUGCCGAGCUCUGGGAAGCGGCCCUGGACAGAGCAGGUCACGACAUGGACAGACUCUGAGGAUUGCACCACCAACUGAUUUUUGGAUCUGAAAUGGUACAGUUGGCAGUCAGGCGGUCAUGCAGUUGACUCGUCAGUCAUUAGCCAGUCAGAUGGUUAGUUAGUCAGCCAGUAAAUUGGUCAGUGGGUUCCUCCCCAUUGGGUCAACUCUUCUACUUUGUGCAUAUCCUCAUCUGAACUCUUGAGGUGACUCAGACUUACCGAAUAACAAAAACUGACCUGUGGACAUGGUACUCCACAGCUGCUGUGGAAGAAGGCAUCUGGAGCCCAGGUGGAGGGUAGAGAAGAGACAGAGGACGGAGAGGUUCAGGGUGGAUCCGUUCCAGCCUCUGCCACGGCUGUGGUGGGGAGGGUUCCUGGCACCGUGAUUUGAUGCACAAAGAGAAACAAAAAUCACAUUGCCAGGGAUUUCCACUCCUUCACAGUAUAGCAGGUGACCCGCCCGUGUUGUAUUUCCACAGUGGGAUGCUUUUGUGUGACCUUCUGUAAUUAUCUGCACUAGAUGUUGCUAUAGAGUCAAAGGAAUAACUACUGGAGCGGGUUAGACAGAUAUUGUGAUCAACUCUAACAGUGAACCUCAAGAGGUUUCCUUGUGGAAUUACUUUCUCGAAUAGAAAACUCUGAAAUGCAUUUAAACGACUGCAGUUAAAUGUGCAGCUGUCUGAAAUUGAAAAAAAAAAAAAAUUAAAUUCUCUCCUUUCAAAUCCGCCA